UAUACACACAGAAGGGCGGGCUUGGAGGAAAGUCACGAGCUACCUCUUCCUUCCCAUUUUUUGAUUGUCAACGACUUUUUAUAUGCACGGCCGGCCGGGGAUGAAGGCUAGCUACCUUCCUUCAAUUCCCAUGGUCAUCGCGCUUUAGUUCAUUAGAUAUCCACUCAAAAAAAAAAAAGCUCUCUAAUUUCCUUCAUUCUUCCUUCAAUAUUGAAUAUUAAUUUCUUGCUGAAGGCAGGCUUCUGGAGGUUUAUCCUAUCUAUCUAUUGAUCCAAAGACUGAAUAUCUCCAUUAAAAUCCCAGCUAAAUCACCUCAGGUUGAUUUGAUUACUUUGUUCGAUCGUUAUGUAUGUUGGUCUGAGAGGUUGAAGCUGCCAGCAUGAUCUGGUAAGACAGUAAUACCCAUGUCUUCCUCUGUAGCAUGAUCUGGUAAGACAGCAAUACCCAUGUCUUCCUAUAUAUCUAUCCAUCCAUCCAUCCAUCCAGACACAUGCACCCAUAUACCACACGAGUUACAUAUAUAGAUCCAUCGAUCCAGACACAUGCACCCACAUACCACACAAGUUACAUAGAGAGUUCUGAAAGGUGUACGUGUUGAUGAAAAAGGAUGAAACAUUUUAACAAUUUUUCUAUGUCGUCUCAGAGAAGCCUCCUUCUAAAUUUCUUACAAGCCUUUUCCCCAGAACUCUCUAUGUGAAAUUACAUUAAUGUUCAGUGACUAAACAUAUGCAUAUCCUUUCCACGCAUGUUAUUUUUUAAGAACUUCACCGGCCCUUUCAUUUGUGAAAAAAAUAACUAUUUUUCUUUCUCAAUUCUUUUAAAAAUUUACAAAAUCACCAUACAUAUUUUUAGCUAAUUAAACACAAUCACAAAAGUAAAAGAACAAAAUAAAAUUUGUAAUUAAAUGAGGUGUUCUUGUCACACACACACACACACACAUAUAUAUAUAUAUAUAUAUAUAUAUAUAGGUGUAUAUACAUACACACACAUAUGAACCAGUUUGGGAUGGGGUUUUAAUUAAGUUCUAAUUAAAUUUGUUGGUGUCAACCAACAUGGGUUAAUCCACUUUGGGAUGGAGAGAUAUUAUAUUCCGUAGAUCAGGUCAUCUAGCAGCUUCAAUCACUCAGUCACCAACAAUAUGAAGCUAUGCCAUCAGGGAUAUGUGGCUAAAGGCAACUACAUACCUUUAACUUCAUUCCAGGUGUCAACAUGUGAGGAUCGGGGUCCGACACCAUAAUGAGGAUGGAACCCUUAAAUGAUAAUUGUGGGCUUUAAUUGUGUUUAGGGUUCUAUGAAGUAGCCACUAAAUUUUUACUUAGUUGUAGUUUAGUUCAUCUAAUUACUAUUGAUUAAUUCGUCUUUAAUUUAACCUAGGUAUAAGAAACCGAUAGUCAUGGUCUAUACAAUCAUAUUUAGAUUCACGAGUAUGAUUAUGCAAGGGGAAGUUACUAGCGUCCCCUGUUGGCUUUUCUAGGUUUCAACCCGUUUUGAUAAUGACAAACUAAGACAUGUAAUUGUGCUACCAAGCAUGUUUAUAGGGAUUAAGGUAUUAAGCGUAAUAACAUAUGCAAAUUACAAAGCCAUGAAACAUAUAGGAUGAUAAUAUUUGACUAUGAACAUGGAGCUUAUAAAGACCAAACUUGAAUACUAUGACUAUAAUUAUGGAGCACAUGAAGUCCAAACUUGAAGAAAUUAAAAGAAUUUAUUUCAUGUAUUUUGCAAAUAGGACCUAUAUGAGUACACUAUUAUUGAUUAUGUGAAGAAACUCAUAGGUGACCUUAGUUGGACCAUAGACACUCUAUAUUUCAUUGAAAAUCCUUUUAUAAAUAUGCAAAAUUAUUUCAAAAUGUUAAAAUUAUUUUUGGAGUGAAAAACCCCAAAACAAGAUUCUCCAAAUCCCCUUAUUUUUUCUGUAGCUGCAUUAAUGAGCGAUUUUCUCGAUCAAUAACUUCUCAUCAUAAAAAAUGUUCAACAAAAAAGUUGUAGGAGUUUUUCUUAACUUUAUGUUGAUACCAAGAUCGCUCUAUUUGGAGUUUUUUAGCAAAUGUUAUGCCCCAAAUACUAAUGGGUGUUCGCGGCUGAAAUUUCUCAAAAAUUCAGGUAACUAAAUCCCAAUUCGGGCGACCGAAUCAAGCCAUUUGGACGACUAAGUCUCAAUUUGGUCAACCAAAAAUUGCGACAAAAAGUCGUAACGGGCAUAAAAUAGAUAGUUUUCAAAAUAAGUAAUUAUUUUCAAAGCCCAAUGACCAUAAAACGACAAGUAGACCAUCUUGCCUAUAAAUACAAGAUUUUUAACUUGUUUUAGAAAAAGAAGGAAAGAGACAUACAUCUAUUACACAUAUCCAAGCUUUUUAUCCUUAUUUGAAAUCUUUCUCAAGUACUUUUCAAAUUCUUUGUUUAUCUUUCAAGUGCUCACCAUCUAGUUACUCCUUAAACUUCAUUUCAUAGUCAUAUUGAGAGUGUAUUAGCUUGUUAUUUUCAUUGUACUUAUUCCCUCAUUUGAGGAGCAUUCUUUGUACAUCUAUUUUUGUUGAUUCCA